GAGCUGUUAUUUACCGUUAGCACUUUUCUUGGGAAAAUCCAGAGCUUGGCCAUAUCAAUUUUUCCAUACAUUGCAGGGCAAUGUGAUGGAUAAAUUAAAAUAAUAAUAAUAAUAAUAAUAAUAAUAAUAAUAAUAAUAUUUAAGCUGUAGCUGUAGGCGCCCCUUUCUGGCACUUUCUGGUGAAGUCCUCCCCAUCGUGUCACCGUGCUUCAUUCAUAUGGUUAGCCGGUGCUUUGGAUUUGGGGUAAGAUCCUUGUGGCCACCCCCUGAGAAGGCGUGUAGUUGCUCGAUGCAACCGCUGGGCUUGUAACUUGACACCUGGCCGUGCGGUGCAUUUGCCAUCGCUUUACCCACAGAAAGCCUAUUUAAAAAGGAAAGGGAUGAGUCCAACGCUCCUGACUCCGUAACCCCCUUUCAAAAGAACCCAGCUUUCGCUCUCCCUCUCUCUCUCUGGCCGCGCGUCCCUCCAAACUGGAUCGGCAUAAAUGAAUGAAACACAAGGGAAUAUCGACAGACAACCGCACAGGAAAACUCUCUGUCAAAGCAGCCUGUCAGGAGGAAUUUAUACUGGACUUGACAGGCAAUUCAACAUGAGUUUUUUCCUCUGGAACUUCACCUCAAGCUUGUCAAAUGCGUAAAGCGGCGACCGGUGUCUUUUUUUGCCCCCCUUGCAAAGGAGUCACACUGUGAUUAAAGGAUCAGGUUUUUGACUGCCAGGACAAAUGAAUACAAAUGAAUUUAGGCACCCGAAGGAGAGAUUGCAGAACCUCUCGUCUAGACACAAAGAGAGCCCUAUUGCUCUGUACCAUUUUAUACUGUACUUGUUACCUGGGACUUACACAAGUACCCUCUGAAGGUAAGGUUUCCACACUCACCUCCACAUACUGCACUUUCUGACCUCUUUUGUUUGUGCUGGGAAAAAAAACUCUGUAAAACUCUGUAAGGAACACUGGUGAGAUUUUGCAGUUAUUCUUUGCCUUUUUGGUCAUGGCCCAAGCACAUAAACACUUUGCUAAGAGAAUUGGGCCAGCCGUUGCCAUAACAACAGGUGUUGAGUAAGCUAAGUCCAAGGAUCUAGGGAGUGAUCAGCUCAACGAUUCAACGAUCCAAUGUUGACCAUUAAUCUAAAAAAAAAAAAAAAUGUAAAACCUCAUGUCAGUCAGAGGUUAAAGUCAAAAUUUUGUCUGGACAGCUGCACUGCUGAAGAACCCAAUUAGCAAAGCAUUUUUAAAGUCUAAUAUUUUUCACAAUGUGUAAAAGGGCAAAAGGGAAAAGUCUGACGAUGUGAAACGUGUACUAGAAUUUGGAGAUGCCUAAACCAGGAGUUUGCCUCCACUUUGCAGAACGUUUUAUACAGUUAAUUCAGUUUUAUUCAUACUUUAUUUAUAUAGCACGUAUUUACAAAGCAUUUAGCGAGAUGUGCCUUAUUAUUGUGCUCAGCUCUUUUGCAGACACUUUUCAUCUACUGUAGACAUCCUACUCCGCAGCAAACAGCAGACUGAACAGUUACAGGCUUGCUGGUCAAUAUAGUCAAGCAUUUAGCAGCUAUUUAAGGCACUGGUAUUGACCAAAAAUACUGCAUAAGGACUUUGAUGAGGCAAGCAGAGUCAUUAUCCAUUAUCCAUUAUCCAUAAAUGCAGGACGUUAAAACAUUUUCAGCUGAUUGCUAACAGGCUUGCCUUUAACCGAGAUGUUAAGUCAGUGUUACAUUCACAAUUUUGCAUCCAAGUAGCCUUAAAAGUCAGUUAUUGCAGAUUUAAUUGAAAACGUUGAGUGUGUUUCUGUUUGAUCUCCUUUUGGUACCAUUUGGAGGUUUCUUCUGAUGAUGAGUUAUCGAUACAGUCCAGUGAAUUGGCCCCCAUGCUCUAGUCAUUAUGAUUGAGACUGACAGCACACAGACUUCAGUAGGCCCGACAAAGCAGUGACUGAAAACUGAUGGCCGACAAAACCAAAUGUCAUUUCAGUUCAUUACAUCAAGGCUUUUCCACAGUCACAGCUCUGCAAAUAAGUCUUUGAAAAACUGACACCUGUUCUUUAAAG
rnacentral:lncRNA from 1 species